UCCUUUAAGGCUAUGUUUGGUUUGAUGGAUUAGAUGGUGGGGAUAGGAUAUAGAUAUCCUAGGAUAUUAUUUCCAUGAGAUAUCUUAUCCUAUGCUAAUGUUUAGUUGUUUCAAGGAAUUAAAGACUAGAUAGGAAAACAUAUUCUAUUCCGAUGUUAAGUUGCUUAAUAUAAGGAUUGGAUACGAACAUAAUAUUUUUUUAAUAUUU
rnacentral:lncRNA from 1 species